rnacentral:misc_RNA from 1 species
GAAUUUUUAAUAUGAUAGAAUGAUAACAAUUCUAAUAACUCAAAAGGUGUAUAAACAUUUUACACUUGACCAAUUUUGCAGAGAGAUUAUUUUCAUAAUAAUCUUAAUAACUCAAAUAGAAAAAAUAAAUACUUCUAAAUACAUUAAAAACUAAAACAGCACACACAUAAAAUAUCCCAUUAAUUGGCACAAACUGGAUCGAGAACAUCUGAAGGUAAACGAGGCACAGGAAUGCAAACAAGAUCAUGGAUUCUUGGAGCAGUCAAUCCAGGGCGUUCAGUCAUAUCAAGAACAUGAUCAUGAUCACCAAUGUUAAGCUCCACUCCAGGGGGAUUAACCACCUUCCAAUCAAAGCACUGAAUCAUAGCUGCAAGUGUUGUAGGCAAAGAUUGCAUGGCUAAAGAAAUUCCAGGGCAGCUCCUCCUUCCAGUGCCGAAAGGCAAAAAUUGAAAAUGUUGGCCUCUGAUAUCUAUCGAGCUAGUGAGGUCAUCUUCAAUAUUGGAUUUCAAGAACCUUUCAGGUUGAAACAGUAAAGGGUUUUUCCAGUACUUGGGAUCUCUUCCAAUAGACCACAUGUUCACAAAUAGCAAAGUAUUUGCUGGUAUUGUAUACCCAUUAAUCUUGCAAUCCUGAAUUGAUUUUCUGGCAACCAUAGGGAUUGGUGGGUGUAACCGAAAUGUUUCUUUCAAAAUGGCUUGUAUAUACGGAAGAUUGGGAUUGUCUGAUUCCUGAGCAAUUCUGCCAUUUCCUACAACCUUAUUAAUUUCCUCAAGAGCUAUCUCAAGAACUUUCGGCUGGUUGAUCAGUUCUGCCAAUGCCCAUUCAAUUGUAAUAGCUGUUGUAUCAGUUGCUGCAGUGAAGAAAUCCAAAAACAAGGCUUUAAUAUGAUUUCUUGUCAGCCUUAUCUCUGCAUUCUCAUCCUCCAUAACAUCAAGCAUUAUAUCAAGGAAAUCUUGGGCCUCGUGCACUGCUCCAUUGAUUCUGUUCUGCUUCCUCAGCUCCUCACGGCUAGUAAUCAACUUCUCCAACAACCCAUCAUACUUGCUAUAAAUAUCAUCAAUUCUCUUUCGAAAACCCUGCAAGUCUAUGUUUCUGCAAAACCAUAUAAAAUCACAUACGUUAAAUUCUCCAAAAAUCUGCGUUACCUCUCGCACAACUGUUCUUGCAACCUCAGCUUCACUGUCAGUAUCAGAAGAUCUCAUACUCAACAUCAUCUGAGAAAUUAUAUUGUUAGAUAAUUUUGUCAGCUCUUGAGUGAUGUUAACACUUUCACCAACUUUGGAUUUGCUGUAAAAACCUCCAAGAAAGUGAUGGAGUUCUUGUUUUCUAAUAGGAAGAAAUUUGGUAAGCAUUCGGUUUCCUAGGAGCUCGAAAGUGCUUAUCUUUUUAAUGAAUUUCCAGUAAGGUCCAUAAGGAGCGAAGGCGAAAGAGGAGUUAUAGGUGAGGUGGUCGAUGGCUAUAGAAUGCUUGCGAGAAGAGAAGGUGAGUUCAUGAGUUUUGAGGAGUUCUUUGGCUAGUUCUGGGGUGGAAGCUACAACAACUGACACAGAACCAAGCCUGAGAUAAAUAAGAGGACCAUAUCGAGAUGAUAUGUCGCGAAAGGAAUGGUGAAUUAGUGGUCCAAGAAGAUGGAGAUGACCUAUAAUCGGUAAAGCCAUAGGGCUUGGAGGAAGCUGGUGGUGCCAUUGUUUCCUUGUGAAGAAAGCCAAAAACAAGAGGAUAGCAAACAAGGAUAGCUCAAUGAUCAUUUUUACUAAUGCCUACAAAAUCCCUCUCUACUUUGGACACCAUAUACAUUUAUAUAUUGCGUGUAGCAUCUGUUUAUCAUUGUUGUUAUAUUCUAUAGCUGCCAUGUAAUUUUUUUUAAAAAAAAAAGGAUAAUAGUAGAGUGGCAGUGUUGAAAAUGAAAAUAUGGGAGGU